rnacentral:rRNA from 1 species
GACGAACGUUGGCGGCGUGCUUAACACAUGCAAGUCGAACGGAAAGGCCCUGCUUUUGUGGGGUGCUCGAGUGGCGAACGGGUGAGUAACACGUGAGUAACCUGCCCUUGACUUUGGGAUAACUUCAGGAAACUGGGGCUAAUACCGGAUAGGAGCUCCUGCUGCAUGGUGGGGGUUGGAAAGUUUCGGCGGUUGGGGAUGGACUCGCGGCUUAUCAGCUUGUUGGUGGGGUAGUGGCUUACCAAGGCUUUGACGGGUAGCCGGCCUGAGAGGGUGACCGGCCACAUUGGGACUGAGAUACGGCCCAGACUCCUACGGGAGGCAGCAGUGGGGAAUAUUGCACAAUGGGCGGAAGCCUGAUGCAGCAACGCCGCGUGCGGGAUGACGGCCUUCGGGUUGUAAACCGCUUUCGCCUGUGACGAAGCGUGAGUGACGGUAAUGGGUAAAGAAGCACCGGCUAACUACGUGCCAGCAGCCGCGGUGAUACGUAGGGUGCGAGCGUUGUCCGGAUUUAUUGGGCGUAAAGGGCUCGUAGGUGGUUGAUCGCGUCGGAAGUGUAAUCUUGGGGCUUAACCCUGAGCGUGCUUUCGAUACGGGUUGACUUGAGGAAGGUAGGGGAGAAUGGAAUUCCUGGUGGAGCGGUGGAAUGCGCAGAUAUCAGGAGGAACACCAGUGGCGAAGGCGGUUCUCUGGGCCUUUCCUGACGCUGAGGAGCGAAAGCGUGGGGAGCGAACAGGCUUAGAUACCCUGGUAGUCCACGCUGUAAACGGUGGGUACUAGGUGUGGGGUCCAUUCCACGGGUUCCGUGCCGUAGCUAACGCUUUAAGUACCCCGCCUGGGGAGUACGGCCGCAAGGCUAAAACUCAAAGGAAUUGACGGGGCCCCGCACAAGCGGCGGAGCAUGCGGAUUAAUUCGAUGCAACGCGUAGAACCUUACCUGGGUUUGACAUGGAUCGGGAGUGCUCAGAGAUGGGUGUGCCUCUUUUGGGGUCGGUUCACAGGUGGUGCAUGCCUGUCGUCAGCUCGUGUCGUGAGAUGUUGGGUUAAGUCCCGCAACGAGCGCAACCCUUGUUCACUGUUGCCAGCACGUUAUGGUGGGGACUCAGUGGAGACCGCCGGGGUCAACUCGGAGGAAGGUGGGGAUGACGUCAAGUCAUCAUGCCCCUUAUGUCCAGGGCUUCACGCAUGCUACAAUGGCUGGUACAGAGAGUGGCGAGCCUGUGAGGGUGAGCGAAUCUCGGAAAGCCGGUCUCAGUUCGGAUUGGGGUCUGCAACUCGACCUCAUGAAGUCGGAGUCGCUAGUAAUCGCAAAUCAGCAACGCUGCGGUGAAUACGUUCCCGGGGC